CGCGUUUCUGUAACGCGAUCAUCGCCCCUCGGUCACACAUCCCACCACCGUCAGUCGAACGAUCCAACGAUGGACACCAACCCACCCCAGAACGACGCCGUCCUCCCCAAAGUCCUCCUCCUCCGCCCCUCCGCCCUCACCCUCCUCCCCCUCGCCGCCCGCCUCCGAGCUCACUUCCACCUCCUCGACCCGCUCGACUCGUCCGAGCCGGCUCAAUCCUUCCUCUCCCUCCGCUGCCGCUCCGUCCGGGCCCUCCUCUGCCUCUUCACCCCCUUCGUCCCCGUCAACGCCGGAACCCUGGACCUCCUCCCUUCCCUCGAGCUCAUCGUCGUCUCCAGCGCGGGGCUCGAGCACGUGGACCUCCCGUAUUGUCGCCGGCGGGGGAUCGCUGUCGCGAACGCCAGCGCCGCGUUCUGCGAGGACGGGGCCGACUACGCGGUGGCGAUGUUGAUCGACGUGAUGAGGAGGGUUUCGCACGGCGACCGGUUCGUCCGGGCCGGGUCGUGGCCGGUCCAGAGGGAGUUCCCCCUGGGUUUCAAGUUAGGGGGAAAACGGGUCGGCAUAGUUGGGCUUGGAAGUAUUGGCUCCAAGACUGCGAAGCGGCUGGUGUCCUUCGGAUGCAGCAUCGCCUACAACUCAAGGAAGGAGAAACCGCACGUUCCAUACCCUUACUACGCCAACGUCCGUGACCUUGCAGCUAAUAGCGACAUUCUUGUCCUCUGCUGCGCUCUGACGGAAGGCACUCGCCACAUCGUCGGCAAGGACGUGAUGUCGGCGCUCGGGAAAGGAGGCGUAAUCAUAAACGUCGGGCGUGGGGCUCUGGUGGAUGAGAAAGAGCUGGUGCGACGCUUGGUGAGGGGCGAGAUCGGCGGUGCCGGCCUCGACGUGUUUGAGAAGGAGCCCAAGGUGCCGGAUGAGCUGCUCGCGCUGGACAACGUCGUGCUCUCUCCACACCGCGCCGUCAUGACUCCGGAAUCCUUGGAAGCUGUGCAGGAACUCAUAAUCGGCAACUUGAGAGCUUUCUUUUCGAACGAACCUUUGAGGUCGCUAGUACAAUUUGAAUGAGCUAUGCAUUUCUUUUGUAAUCCCUGUAAUCUGGAAAUGUCAUUGUCGAUAUAACAUGGAGAUGAUGCCUGGUUUAGGCUAUGGCGGGAUGGA